rnacentral:rRNA from 1 species
UACGUAGGGUCCGAGCGUUGUCCGGAAUUAUUGGGCGUAAAGGGCUCGUAGGCGGUUUGUCGCGUCGGGUGUGAAAACACGGGGCUUAACCCCGUGCCUGCUUCCGAUACGGGCAGACUAGAGGUAUGCAGGGGAGAACGGAAUUCCUGGUGUAGCGGUGAAAUGCGCAGAUAUCAGGAGGAACACCGGUGGCGAAGGCGGUUCUCUGGGCAUUACCUGACGCUGAGGAGCGAAAGUGUGGGGAGCGAACAGG